rnacentral:rRNA from 1 species
GAUGAACGCUGGCGGCGUGCCUAAUACAUGCAAGUCGAACGCUUCACUUCGGUGGAGAGUGGCGAACGGGUGAGUAAUACAUAAGUAACCUGGCAUCUACAGGGGGAUAACUGAUGGAAACGUCAGCUAAGACCGCAUAGGUGUAGAGAUCGCAUGAACUCUAUAUGAAAAGUGCUACGGGACUGGUAGAUGAUGGACUUAUGGCGCAUUAGCUUGUUGGUAGGGUAACGGCCUACCAAGGCGACGAUGCGUAGCCGACCUGAGAGGGUGACCGGCCACACUGGGACUGAGACACGGCCCAGACUCCUACGGGAGGCAGCAGUAGGGAAUUUUCGGCAAUGGGGGAAACCCUGACCGAGCAACGCCGCGUGAAGGGAGAAGUAAUUCGUUAUGUAAACUUCUGUCAUAGAGGAAGAACGGUGGAUAUAGGGAAUGAUAUCCAAG